AGCGAGGCAGAGGAGCAUGGAGUUCUCGCUGGGCCCAUAACCCAGAGGUCGUUGGUUCAAAUCCAACCCUCGCUA
rfam:Candidatus Altiarchaeum sp. CG2_30_32_3053 cg_3.0_sub100_scaffold_2279_c, whole genome shotgun sequence.